AGCGGAGGAAAAGAAACCAACAGGGAUUGCCCUAGUAACGGCGAGUGAAGCGGCAACAGCUCAAAUUUGAAAUCUGAUCUCUUCGAGGUCCGAGUUGUAAUUUGUAGAGGGCGCUUUGGUGUUGGCUGCGGUCUAAGUUCCUUGGAACAGGACGUCAUAGAGGGUGAGAAUCCCGUCUGUGGUCGCAUGUCUUCACCGUGUAAAGCCCCUUCGACGAGUCGAGUUGUUUGGGAAUGCAGCUCUAAAUGGGAGGUAAAUUUCUUCUAAAGCUAAAUACUGGCCAGAGACCGAUAGCGCACAAGUAGAGUGAUCGAAAGAUGAAAAGCACUUUGGAAAGAGAGUCAAAAAGCACGUGAAAUUGUUGAAAGGGAAGCGCUUGCAGCCAGACUUGCUUGCAGUUGCUCAUCCGGGCGUUCGCCCGGUGCACUCUUCUGUAGGCAGGCCAGCAUCAGUUUGGGCGGUUGGAUAAAGGCCUCUAUCAUGUAUCUUCUCCGGAAGACCUUAUAGAGGAGGCGUAAUGCAACCAGCCUGGACUGAGGUCCGCGCAUCUGCUAGGAUGCUGGCGUAAUGGCUGUAAGCGGCCCGUCUUGAAACACGGACCAAGGAGUCUAACAUCUAUGCGAGUGUUUGGGUGUCAAGCCCGAGCGCGUAAUGAAAGUGAACGGAGGUGGGAACCCUCGGGUGCACCAUCGACCGAUCCUGAUGUCUUCGGAUGGAUUUGAGUAAGAGCAUAGCUGUUGGGACCCGAAAGAUGGUGAACUAUGCUUGAAUAGGGUGAAAGCCAGAGGAAACUCUGGUGGAGGCUCGCAGCGGUUCUGACGUGCAAAAUCGAUCGUC
rnacentral:rRNA from 1 species